UACGUAGGGGGCAAGCGUUAUCCGGAUUUACUGGGUGUAAAGGGAGCGUAGACGGCGUAGUAAGUCUGAUGUGAAAGCCCGGGGCUCAACCCUGGGACUGCAUUGGAAACUAUUAUGCUAGAGUGCAGGAGAGGUAAGUGGAAUUCCUAGUGUAGCGGUGAAAUGCGUAGAUAUUAGGAGGAACACCAGUGGCGAAGGCGGCUUACUGGACUGUAACUGACGUUGAGGCUCGAAGGUCAGGGGAGCAAAC
rnacentral:rRNA from 1 species